rnacentral:tRNA from 1 species
GGGCCUUUAGCUCAGUUGGUUAGAGCUCCCGGCUCAUAACCGGAUGGUCCCGGGUUCGAGUCCCUGAAGGCCCACCA